rnacentral:lncRNA from 1 species
ACCAAGAGAAGAAGCAGAGGAAGACAAUAUCUUUAUGGCAGCAUCAUGUAGACUGUUCUGGGCCUGAGGACCCAGAAGAGCCUGGGAUCGAGGCUGUGGAAGGUGGAGGAGUCUACUGAGCUUGAAGACAAGCACAGACCACUGUCUUCUUUCCAAGUCACCAGGAGGUCUGGGUCUCGAGCCACCAGAUCCCCAGUGACCCAGACUCCCAGAUCCUGUAUCCUACACCACCUGGGUCCUUGCGCCACAAUGGACCACCCAGCACGGAUGUUGGAAAGUUGGAGAUCGUGAGAGGCAUAAUCAUUAACCUGGACGGAAUGUUUGGAGGUUCCCGAGUUGAAACAACUCAGGUGGAACCACGAGAGCUGUCAGAGGAGAAAAGACUCAAUUGGGAAGGGCUGAGCUGACCCUGGCACCAGGCAGACUCAGGAUGGGCGAGGGUGUCUGGCCACUGCUGGGGCAGAACUGCUAUAAACAAGCUGUGCCUGUCAUGUCUUCUCUUUAGCUUCUCCAGAUAACGACGCCUAAUGUUUCACCUUGACCGUCUGCAGCACAUUGACAAGAAGCCUGCUGAGGAGCUAGUAUUUAUUAUUUCAAUGAGUGAUGGCGUAAUAACAUUAUAGUUUUGUUCAUUGUCUCUGUAUGAAAAGUGAGGGGAAAUGAGGAUGGGAAGGCUUGUCACUUCCAGAUGACACAAGGACAGGCUGGAGUACAGGCUCAGCUUUUCUCCACGAUGCACCCAGGAGGCUCAGCCUAUGCUCCAGAAAAGACCUUCCCAGAGAGUGGGUCAAGUUCGUCACUUGCCCUUGUCCCAUCCCCUACGCUUGACAGAGCUCAGUACAUAGUACCCAGCAAAUUGCAAUCGGUAUGAAAGCAGCACCUCGCCUGGCGCAUGAGGUCAAGUCCAAGGAUGCCAGAAGGGAUCUUGUCUUCAGUGUCUCCAAAAUGCCAAAGGGAAACAGACAACACGGAGAAGCCAGGUUUCUUUAAUGGGCUUGCCCUUUCUCUGUCGUUCUUCAUCUCGCUCUGCAACCAGCAAGCGCCUCUGCAGAUGCCUGCCUCCUCCAACUGAGCCCCUGGAAAGGCUUGCUCUGCAGCCUGGCCAGCGUGCCGCCUAUCUUCUCUUCUCCCUUGUGUUCUAGCAGAAACUGCAGGUUCUCUUCCCAACAGACACAGGCUUUCUUUCAAAACCCUGUUUUCUCUAUGCUCCAGGCUAUGAAUACACACAUGCACACACACACACACACACACACAAACACACACACAAACACGCACACACAGUAACCAAGUUAGAAAGAAGAAAACCAUAGUUUCAGCAAGAAUUUUCUCGUUUGCCCUGUGCGAAAGGGUGGGGGUCAGAUGCUGUCUCUGGCCUGAAGACAUUCUGUAUUUCAGCUCAGGUCCACAGCUACCUCUGGGCUCUCUGCCCUGGGGAACACCGGCAGGGCUCUCAGCCAGAAGGAGCUGCUUUAGGGAGCUAGAGGGGCCCAUUACUGUAUUUGCUUUGUUCUGUUUUUUGUCUUGCAGAAAGGUUUGGUUUUCAUUUAUGGUUUUGUUCAUGUGAAAGAUAUCCUAAUUUUGGAGUUCCCCUCAUGGCUCAGCAGUAAUAAACCUGACUAGUAUCCAUGAGGACGUGGGUUCUAUCCCUGGCCUCACUCAGUGGGUUAAGGAUCCAGCAUUGCCAUGAGCUGUGGUGUAGGUUGCAGAGGUGGCUCAGAUCUGGUGUUGCUAUGGCUGUGGUGUAGGCCCGCAGCUGCAGCUUUGAUUCAACCCUUAGCUUGGGAACUUUCCUAUGCCUCUGGUGCAGCCCUAAAAAUUAAAAAAAAAA